AUUGAACGCUGGCGGCAGGCUUAACACAUGCAAGUCGAGCGGUAGCACAGGGGAGCUUGCUCCCUGGGUGACGAGCGGCGGACGGGUGAGUAAUGUCUGGGAAACUGCCUGAUGGAGGGGGAUAACUACUGGAAACGGUAGCUAAUACCGCAUAACGUCGCAAGACCAAAGAGGGGGACCUUCGGGCCUCUUGCCAUCAGAUGUGCCCAGAUGGGAUUAGCUAGUAGGUGGGGUAAUGGUUCACCUAGGCGACGAUCCCUAGCUGGUCUGAGAGGAUGACCAGCCACACUGGAACUGAGACACGGUCCAGACUCCUACGGGAGGCAGCAGUGGGGAAUAUUGCACAAUGGGCGCAAGCCUGAUGCAGCCAUGCCGCGUGUGUGAAGAAGGCCUUCGGGUUGUAAAGCACUUUCAGCGAGGAGGAAGGUGGUGAGCUUAAUACGUUCAUCAAUUGACGUUACUCGCAGAAGAAGCACCGGCUAACUCCGUG
rnacentral:rRNA from 1 species